UUGGAUUUCUGUUGUGGGCAGCCGGUCCACACUAUGUGUGAGUAUCUGGUUCGACCAUGGCAUCCUCGUGAGGAACGUUGGUGCGCUUCACUGCGUGGCGCGGUAUUCACGACUUUUGCUUUGAGGAAUUAGAGUGUUCACGGCAGGCGUUUGCCCUGAAUAUAUUAGCAUGGAAUAAUGAUAUAGGCAUGUGUGUCUAUUUUGUUGGUUUCUAGAC
rnacentral:rRNA from 1 species